UAGCUGCUACAAGAGUAAAGGUGAUACCUUAGAUAGAAACUACAGAGGUAUCAAACUGCUGAACCAGGUCAUGAAAGUUAGAGCUAUUACUUCU